UUUUUUAAUAUAUAAGGAGUCGGGCCUGCUCGGUGAUAUUAUAUUUAACAGCUGCAGCGUAAUAGUUGUACUAAGGUAGCAUAAUAAUUUGCCUUAUAAAUUAAGGCUAGAAUGAAUGGUUUGACGAAAGUUGAUCUGUCUCUUAUUUAUUUAUUAGAAAUUAAUUUUUAUAGUGAAAAAGCUUUAAUUGAUUAAAGGGACGAGAAGACCCUAUUGAGCUUUUAUCAAAUGUGUAUAAAAUUAUUUUAAAAUUAUAUAAGAAAUGAUUUUGAUUGGGGUGAUCGAGGAAUAAGAUAAAGUAGUUAAUAACUUCCUUAAAAAUAAUUAAAAUAAAAUUGAUAAAUUAAUUAACCAAUAUUUUGCUUACGUGAAUAAGUUACCAUAGGGAUAACAGCGUAAUUUUUUUAGAGAGUUCUUAUUGAUAAAAAAGAUUGCGACCUCGAUGUUGGAUUAAAAUAACCUUAAGGUGAAGAAGCUUUAAUAGGUGAAUCUGUUCGAUUUUUAAAA
rnacentral:rRNA from 1 species